rnacentral:rRNA from 1 species
GAUCAGAUACCGUCGUAGUCUUCUGUAAACUAUGCCAAUUGGGGAUCAGCAUCAUGACUGUGUUGGCACCCGAAGAGAAAUCUUUAAAUGAGGUUCGGGAGGGAGUAUGGUCGCAAGGCUGAAACUUAAAGGAAUUGACGGAAGGGCACCACCAGGUGUGGAGCCUGCGGCUUAAUUUGACUCAACACGGGGAAACUCACCAGGUCCAGACACAAUAAGGAUUGACAGAUUGAUAGCUCUCUCUUGAUCUUGUGGUUGGUGGUGCAUGGCCUUUCUUAGUUGGUGGAGUGAUUUGUCUGGUUAAUUCCGAUAACGAACGAGACCUUAACCUGCUAAAUAGACUUCUUAGAGGGACUAUGUUUGAGGCAAUAACAGGUCUGUGAUGCCCUUAGAAGUUCUGGGCCGCACGCGCGCUACACUGACAGAGCCAGCGAGCCUUUGCCGGAAGGCAUGGGUAAUCUUGUGAAACUCUGUCGUGAUGGAGAUAGAGCAUUGCAAUUAUUGCUCUUCAACGAGGAAUACCUAGUAAGCGUGAUUCAUCAGAUCGCGUUGAUUACGUCCCUGCCCUUUGUACUCACCGCCCGUCGCUACUACCGAUUGAAUGGCUUAGUGAGGCCUCCGGGAGAAGUUGUACGAACUUGUCAUUUAGAGAAGUUAAAAGUCGUAACAAGGUUUCCGUAGGUGAACCUGCAGAAGGAUCA